GGACAACUUUCACAUCUGAGCUCCACUGAGCUCUAAGGCAGAUGGGCAACCAAAGGGCGACUGCUUUGUCAAUAAGUAAACUGCUUAAAAAUGGCAAAUAGUAAUGCAGUUACUGCAGUAUGUUUCUGAUUAAAAUAAAAAAAUGUCCAUUUUGCAUUCCUCAUCCCAAAACCACAUUUAAGUAAUGCCAAGAGAAGCAACAGAGUGAUCUUACAUAGCAAAAACACAAGAAAACCUCCUGGUGCCGAGAGGUUAGUGUCCAAGCUUUCAUACGUAAACAUUGUAAACAGUCACCUCAUUACUGAAAGAAUGACCUAGCCUUCCAUGUCAAAGAAUCCACUGGUAAAAGUUAAAAUCUGUUCCCUUCAUUAAGUGGCCUAAUCACAUUGUGCCUUCUGGCUUGGAAAUAUUGCAGUGGUUUGCUUUUGGGGGAGUCUUUUUUCUUUCUUUUUGUCUUUCUUUCUUUGCUGAAGAGCUUUUGAAACAACGAUUAAAUAAAGGCAAACAGCUGACAAUUCUUUUCUGCCAUCAAAGCAUGGAAAAAUGUAGCCAUCUGCCUUUCUGUGAAUUGUAAGGGGAAGGAGGGGAAAGCUAUGCUAAAUAUCCAAGGAAUGAUGAAGUAAGGCAAGCUGUACGCUCUGAUUUUCUCUAUCAGCAGCAUAACUCAUCCAUCACUAUUACGGUCUGCAGCUGGAGAUAUUGCAGGGCUCUGACAUGAACUGUAGUGGGAGAUGGAAACAUCCUGGCCAAAGGAGGUGGCUGUGUUUCACUGAGAAGACUUCACUGAAAACCUUGGACCUAGCUGGUAGCCUCAAAAUGGAGGCAGCUGUUGAGUCUGCCUGGCCAUGCCAUCCCUAUGGCGUGGCCUGGCAUUCUCAGGUGUGAUCUCCUCAGACCCCAGCAGGUGAUCCAUUUUGGUGGCUGAUCCAUGACAGGCUGCUGGGCAGGAAGAUGAUUUAAAUCCCGCAUUGAAGUGGAGGUAUAAUUCAGGCCAUAUGUCAGGGCUGUGGGUGUAGAAGCGGGUGGGUGAGGGAACAUGGCUGAAGUGGAGAAAUAAGCACUGAGUCAGCAGCAGAGAUGAUUGAAAUUUAUCCAAAACAUAUUGCCUAAGAUUUUGGUAGCACCUCCAGUAUUACUAAUGAGGAGGCUGAGAGGUUUGGAGCUGCACUGACUGGCAGCUGCACUCUCAGAAAGGGACAUGGGGAGACCUUCUCAUCUGUCAGGAUGUCAUUAUUUGCAAUGGAGUCUGACAGCUCUAAGGUUACGUGUGUAUAAAUCAGUCAGGCAGAAGAGGAAGCAAACGGUAAUUUUAUUUUGCAGUGGCACAGGGGAAGAGCAGUCAGCUGCAUAGCCCCUGCUGCCGCUGCCACGUGCUGAGCAAGCAGAUACCAUUCCCAACCCCUUCUGUCCCCCCUCCUGUUU
rnacentral:lncRNA from 1 species